CGCGUCAACUCCACGAGGUUGUCCAGUUGUUGAUCAAAAUUCAGCUGUAAGUUUUUUACUUACCAAGAAAACUAUUAGUUUUCGUCGUGAUCGAAGGCAGUGGACAUGCCUGGUGGGGGAGUGGUGGAACGACUGGAGUGGAGUGGAGGAAAGUGAAAAAGUGACACGAGCAUAAUCCUAUGCCAUGAAGAGCAAAACUGUUUUGACUUAAAGAUGGAGUGGGACUGGUGGUCUAGAAUGCAGGGACCGUCUUCACAACGCAAGGGGCCUGCACGGGGUAAAUGGUGGGCCAAUCUCAGAAACCCUGUCUGCCCUCAGCCCAACUCCCGUUGGCAUAGGCGCCGACCCCAAUCAUUUGGAGUACUGCCAGAUGUGGAUUUGGACUCUGUGCAUGUGAAGACUUUGGAUGAAAUACUGCGAGAAAGAGAAGCUAAAAAGUGUAGAGAACAGGCUAAGACUCUGACCUGUACAGGUUGCGGCAGUCAGGAAACAACCAGGGGAGACCUCCGGAUGGUCCAAUGCCAAGACCAGAAUCCAGUCCAUCGGAUCAGACUGAGCCAGUAUAACUUCCACAGAGAAGACAGGGAUGAGGAUGAAGAAGAUGAAAUGGAAGUGGUUGCUAUGGAUACAGCCGAAUCUGAUGAAGGUGAAGAGAUUUACUUUUCUCCAGAGGAGCUGUAUCCUAAAGAACCUGAUGAGGAGACAAUUGCUAGCUCCCUGCAGGAGGAGGGAUAUGCAACUGCUCUGGCUGAGGAGGAAAGAGUUUCAAGUGAACGAGGAGACCUGGAUAUCCUCCGAGUGGAUGUUGAGUAUGACAAGAGCUGCCAAGAGACAAGUGGAGAAGAUAUUGAUAAUCUUGACUGUUCUCGAGAUGACUUUGAUCCUGAUAAUUCUGAAAGAAGCAUUGGUGAAGAUACAGAUGUAAGGUCUCAGGAGGGGGAGUGUAAAAUUGCUCAGGUUGAGGCAGAAAUCGACAACAGUGAUCAGGAAGACAUGGACGCAGAUGAGGCUUUGAAACAAGAUGAUGUCCAAGUGGAUGGUGGAGGUGACCAGAAUUGCAAAGAGGAAAAUGAGAUAGACGUGGAGGAUGUCGAUUCUUCUCUAGAUGAGUUGUUUUCUGGAGAGCUUGAAAUUGACAUUGACGAGGAAGCUGAAAGUGCAUCUCUUGAGAAGGAAUGCAAAGUUUCUGAGGACUGGCAGGGCAUCAUCCACAGUGAACGGGCAAUCAAGGAGGGAGAUAGUGAGACUGUGGAACAAGGCAUCCUCCUUGUGGAUCCUGGUGGGGACGGGAACUGCCUAGAGGAGGUAGAUUUGGACCCCUCAGAGAAUGUGUGUCUUAGAGAGCUCAAGAAUAAUGCCAGUCAAGUGACAAAUGAUGGCUCACAGGACAGGGAAUGUACACUUCAUGAGGGGGAUAAGGAAAUUGUCUCCAAGGAACAGGAAAUCAAAGAUGAAGAGGUUUUGCUGCAGGAUGACCUUCAAAUGGAUGUAGGAUAUGAUGCGAACUUCCAAGAGGAUGACAAAGACAUUGAUUUGAAUGGUUCUCCAGAUGAAGUUUGUCCUAAAGAACCUGACGGGAGCAUAAAUGAAGAGACAAGUCGUACAUUGCAAGAAAAAAAAGAAAGUCCAACUGUCCAGGUUGAGAAGAAAAUCAUCAACAUUGAAAAGAUUGACAAGGAGAAAGAUGCUGAGGCUGUGGAACCGACAAGCCUCCAAGUGGAUGCAGGAGGUGACAGGAGCUGUCAAGAGGAAGUCAUUGAGGACUCUGAAAACAGUGACGGUUCUCAGGAUGAGCUCCACCUUGGAGAACUCAAUGUUGUUGAUAAAGAGAUCAGUAUCAGCUGUCAAGAGGAAGACAAUCAAGAUCUUGAAGCCAAGCACCCAGUCAAGACGAGAGCCGACAAUUACCAACAAAAUGACAAUACGGUAGAAAUCACCAACACAGACACAAAGGAGGAAAAGGGAGAACGCGAAGUUGAAAUCGGAAGAAAGCUUGAUAAGGCCCUGGAUGAGAGCUCUCAAGAAGACGGCCAGAAGGUCUUUGGUGAAGAUGUAAGUAGCUCCAUAGAAACAGACAAAGAGGAGAGGGAGGAGGAUGUCAAAGUAGGGAUAGAGGAAGAAAGGCAUAAGGGGACAGAAGAUGAUAAUUUCCCUGAUGAAAGCACCCAGGAUGUGGCGGACAGUUCCGAACAGAGUCAGCAGGAUACCAACUGUGUGGAGAAACUCAGCGAUGAGCAGAGCCUUGGUGCAGGCCCUGGUAUGAGUUUGAUGGUAGAUGAUUGUAGGACACACAAGUUAGAAGCUGUGACUACUUUGAACCAAGAAGAGAAUACUGUUUCCUCCUUUACUACCAAUGGGCCUGUUGAUGCUCCAGCUGAAAGAGAACAAGAAACUAGAAAUGCAGCCACUACAUUAAAAAUGAAUGAAUGUCUACCAAGAGCUCUCCAAGACAAAGACGUCAUCACUCCCCAGGAGGCUGUGAAUCCUGUUGAAGGAGAUGACUUAGAACCUCCGGACGUACCUACGGUUAAUAAGGACCAGAUUAAAACAACCACCAGGCCUUACACAAGGAAAAGAAAGUGUGAAGAGAUGAUGCAAGGCUUGGUCAAAUUUCUAAAGGUGAGACAAAGAGUCGGAGUUAGAAUAGAUGCGCCAAGAAAGGCCAGGGACAAAAGUACAGGACAAAGACGGGUCAGAAAUGAUAAGGUUGGACAGGGUGCCAUGGUUAAGGACAAACAAGAUAGGGAAGAAGCUUUCAUCUCGGACAUUCCUGAGGUCCCACAGACAAGGCAGCAACAUACUAGAGUAGCUGCAGAGCCCAAAAGAAGAGGUCGACCAUGUUCAAGACCUAAGAAAAUUGGAGAAGGAGAUUCUCUAAUGUCAGGACAAACAAAAGAAAAAGGUAUAGCUGAUUCAGUGGUUACUCCUUGUCAACUUAGAAAAAGGAGGUGUAAGGAAAGAGGGGAAGAUGAGUCUAAGAAGCAAGGACAAACAAAUCAAGUAGGACCUGAUGCAGAGGUUGCUCCAACUCAACGUGGAAAAAGCAGGUCUAAGGACAGAGUAGGAGAAUUUUCUAUGAAGAAGGGACAAACGGACCCAGUCGGAUCUGAUGUAGAGGAUGCUCCAAGUCGACCUAGAAAAAGCAGACCCGAGGAAAGAGGGAAAGAAGUUUCUAAGAAACAAGUACAAAAAGAAGUAGGACCUGAUUCAGAGGUUGCUCCAAAGCAAUUUAAAACAAGCAGGCGUAAGGGAAGAGGGGAAGAAGAUUCUGCUAAGCAAGGACAAACAAGGCAAGUGGGACCUAAUUCAGCAGUUGCUCCGAGGCAACUUAGAAACAGCAGGCACAGAGAAAGAAAGACGGAAGAUUCAAUGAAGAAGGGGCAAACAGAACAAUUCAGGCCUGAUUCAGAGGUUGAUUCAAGUCAACCUAGAAGAAAAAGGCGAAAGAAAAAUGGGGAAGAAGAUUCUAUCAACAAGGGACAAAUAAAACAAGUUGGACCUGAUGCACAGGUUGCACAAAGUCAGCUUAGAAGCAACAGGCCUAAGGAAAUAGAGGAAAAAGAUUCUAGGAAGAUGGGACAAACAGAACAAGACAGACCUGACGUAGAGACAGCUCCAAGUCAAAUUAGAAAAAGCAGGUCUAAGGGGAGAGAGGAAGAAGAUUCUGAGAUGCAAGGACAAACAGAACAAGUAGAACCUGAUGCAGAGGUUGCGUCGAGUCAACUUAGCAAAAGCAGGUCUAAAGAAAAAGAGGAAAAUGUUUCUAUAAAGAAGGGACAAACAAAAGACGUCAGACCUGAUGCAGAGGUUGCUCCAAGUCAACUUAGAAAAAAAAGGCCCAAGGAACGACGGGAAGAAGAUUCUGCUAAGCAAGGACAAACAAAGCAAGCAGGACCUAAUUCACCGAUUGCUCUGAGUCUUAGAAAAAGCAGGGACAACAAAAUAAAGGAGCAAGAUUCCAUGAGGAAGGGGCAAAGACAACAAGUUGUACCUUAUUCAGAUUUUGCUUCAAAUCAACAUAGAAAAAGCAGACCUCAAGAAACAGAAAAGAUUACUGUAAAGAAGGGACAAACGGAACAAUUUGGACAUGAUGCAGUGGUUGCUCCAAUUCGACCUAGAAAAAGCAGGCGUAAGGAAAGAGGGGAAGAAGAUUCUGUCAAGAAGAUACAAACAAUACAAGUUGGACCUGAUGCACGGAUUGCACAAAGUCAGCUUAGAAGCAGCAGGCCUAAGGAAAGAGAGGAAGAAGUUUCUAUGAAGAUGGGACAAACAGAACAAGACAGACCUGACGUAGAGGCAUCUCCAAGUCAAAUUAGAAAAAGUAGGUCUAAGGAGAGAAAUGACAAAGACUCUCAAGUGCAAGGACAAACAGAGCAAGUCCGACCUGAUGCAAGGGUUGCUCCAAGUCAAAUUAAAAAAAGGAUGAGUAGACGGAAGGUGAAGGAUAUACAGACAAAUCACGAUCAAAAUCAGAAAGACCCAGAGAAGAGACUAAAGAGGUGCCGAUCAAGGGUAAAUACCUUGGUGGUAGAUGGGAAGCAACUGCGGAGCUGUUUGGAGUGCAGUGAUCAUGCGCAGAAGGGUGGGGCCAAUUUGAGACAACUAAAAACAGGAGAGAUGAGGGUAGUGGAAGAGGGAGAUAACAUCCAAAGGAAGGUAAAAAAACUGAAGGGAGAUGGCUGUGUGGAUGAGGAUACCUUGCCCACAAUGUCCCCUUCAACUGAAACGGUGACUGCUCAGAAGCGAGGAAAUGAGCCAAAGCAGUCUACUGUGAGCUCUUUGCAGCCUCCAUCAAAAACGGUUGUAGAAGCAGCUGAUGUUAACCAAAGCUCUCAUGUAGCAACGAAAUUGGACAAAGUGGAGCUGAAGAAGAGUUCUUCUGCCCUUGCUGCCAAUGAGAGGCAGGUUACUGAGAGUGAUGCUGCCGAAUCACCAUGUCAAGAAAGCAUCAAAGUAAAAAGGGGCAGUACCAAGAGGAGGGGCAUCUGGAAAGAAAUGGUCAGCAAGUGCCUACAUGUAGUUUCGAAGAAAAGGAGGAAGAGGAAACGAGAUGGAAAUCAAGACCUACAUUCUCCAGGAUGGGAAGAUGGUGGCUCAUCCUCCAAGAAACAGAAAAGAAUCUUGAAAAUAAAAAUUCCCAGUCCCAAGUAUAAACAAGCUUUGAUUCCUAAGAGUGUGCCAUGCAGUUCCCCAUUGAAAGACUCAACUGAUAAAGUGGAUUCCACUUCGGACUCGGUUAAGAAUAUUUUCCAAGACAGAAGGGUCAACCAAGAAAAGACAGAUGUUGACAUGCCUCAAGACAGGGUUCCAUAUCUUGAAACAUCUCCAAAAUCAAACCAGAACCUUGACCAAGAUGAUAGGGAAAAUCAGCAACUGGCUGGGGUAAAUGCUGUCGACCAGCGCCUUUCUAAGACUGUCAGAUUACCUUUCCUUGAUGCAACUCCAGAAUCUGAUCAAAACCUUGCCCAAGAUCUCAAAGUCAAUCAGGAACUGGAAGUUACAAUUGCAGACCAUCCUCGUCCUGAGACUGGAAGGGUUCCUUACCUUGAUGCAACUCCGGAUUCAGAUCGGAAUCUUGUCCAAGAUAUUCAAGUUAAUCAGGAAUCUGAAGGGGGAAAGUCUGAACAUCCUCCUCCUGAGACCAGCAGGGUUCCUUAUCUUGAUGUAACUUCUGAUUCAGAUCAGAAUGUUGUCCAAGAACCGAGAGUCAGUAAGGAAACUGAAAGGGAAAAGGCUGACCAGUCAUUUUCCAAGACCUCAAGGAUUCCUUGUAUUGAUGCAACUCUAGAAUCAGAUCAGAGCAUUGCCCAAGAUGUAAAUAAGGAAUUGAAAGAGGUAACUUCUAACCAGAUUCUUUCUGAGACAAGCAAGGAUCCUAACAUUGAUGCAACUCCUGAAUCGGAUCGGAUUGUUGUCCAAGAAAUCAGAGUCGAUCAUGAAACGGAAGGGGGAAAAGCUGACCAGUCGCUUUCCGAAACCAUCAGGAUUCCUUUUGCUCAGAUAUUAGCCAACCAGCCUCGGGUCCUGUUGUGCAAACUGAACUUCAAGGUAUCUAUCCCCCUGGAUUGCAUCACUCUGAAGACUCGACGUUCCACUCGAAGAGGACGUCCCAGGAAGAUGACAUCCAUCGCUAAGAAGGCACAGAAGAUGACCAGGGGUCUUAAAGGGAUGGAAGGGACCUGGAACCAGCUGGGAUUCAGAAAGCCAUCCCAGCUCAUCCAGCCUGGCAGCGAGGCACUCUCUGAUGAAUCCUUCUCAGUGCCUGCACAGCAUCCAUCAACAUCUCAAGAAGGGCAUUCCAUUCCUGGACAAGAACGCGAUUCAGCUGUUGCAACCACCUACGGAGACUCUGACAGCCUCAAUCAACCUGUGAGGACUGAAGGUGAUGCUGAUUAUCUUGAUUGCUCAGGUGAAAUUGUGGAGGCUCCAGAAGUUGCUCACACUGUGGAGAUUGUCUCGACUGACGGAAUCCCUCCACCAACCACUAAUGGCUUCGUUGAAGUCGCUGGCAGUGUACAAGAGAGGCUGACGUUCGACUCAGAAAAUUCCCCUUGUGACCAAGAAUCGUGCCAGCUUUGUACACCAGAUGACAAAUCCUUUGAUUACGAGUUAGAAAACCAAGUGCAAAUCAUAAGCAGCGAGUACGAGGCGAUGGGUCUGAGCAGCUCAGAGGAUGGCCCAGACCUGUGCUUCACGUCGGCCUCCAUGAAAGUUGUGGUUACAGCUCUGGCCCCUUCGGGCUGCGCAGAUAUCCCCCUGGUCUCGCUGACCAGCACCCAGUCAGGUGCCGAGGAGGUCCCAGGCUACCCCCACACCCUACCCCCCAUGCAAAUCUUCCUCAGUAAAAUGACUGAAUCUGGGCAGACGGACGCAGCGCUCCAAACAUUUGCCCGGGAUUUGGGCGAGAACUUGUCGAUCGAUCAGGUUGGAGUAACUGAGGAUGUUAGAAGUCCUCUUGAUGCAGAAAAUGAGGAGUGCACAGAGAACUCUCCAAGACUAGAAGCCGGGGCUUUAACUCAGAAAGAAAACUCUGAGACUGAAGCAGAGGUUGCCGUUAGUCAUCAAGAGAGGAUGCCCCAGUCUCCUGAGAGUCGUAGGGAAGACGAGGAUCGUCAAGCUGCAGGCAGCAGCAGAGUGGAAGACUCCAAGCGUACGGAGACAGAAGCUGAACGGAUCCAGGCCACCACCAUUCCAACAGUGACCAGCCCCCCUAGUCAAGACAUCUCAGACUGCUUCCUAACCCCUAACCCACAACCUCCCAUGAUCCUGUCUGCAUCCCCGGAACUGGAUGCGCUACUGUCUACGAUAGCCGACACGUCGUUUGGCGUUGCUCCACCGCAGGAUGCGCCAUCCACGAUGUUAGAGCAAGGAGAGGAGAAUGUUCCAGAGAACCACUGCAAAAAUCUGGCCGUUCCUGAUGGACAAAAGAUGACCGACUAUUUGCAGACUCCACAAAAUGAUGCUUCAAGUGUCAUUCCCGCUCCAAUUACCUCUGUCGCUCCCCCGGCCACAACAUUGGAAAAUGAGGACCUGGACUCGCGCAAUGCAUCCAGCCAGUUCGGCGACCUGACCCUGCCACCUCUAGGCGAGGACUUUGAAUUUCCUGAGGAGGACUGCAUCUCCCUGGACUGCGACACGGAGAGCUUCUUGAACGAUCUCAGUGACGAAUUGACAGAAAUUGACAGGAAGAUCAGUGAUGCAGAGAAAAGAACGAAAUCAGGAUCUCCAUCUCAAUGUAGGAACAGACCCCUGCACACCGCUGACACCAAUGAUCAACUCGGAAAAAGUGGCCCAUCUCGGAAAGAAAUUGCGACCCCCAGAGAGCAACCCUCUAUCCAUACAGUGGACUGGUCCGAGGUGGAGCAGUACCAACCAAUCAGCAGGAGCCUAGCAGGCGGGGACUGUUCCACUAAUGACCUGCGGAGGUUUAUCAGAAAGGAUGAGGGGCACUCCGUGGGGACCCAAGAUGCUUCACAGCCGACAGCUGCGGGUAGAAACUGGUCAACAACUCCGAGCCAUUUCCAAGGAUCGGUAAAUACUCAACCUCAGCCCGUAUCAAGAAACCAGGUGAUACCUAGAGGCUUCUGCUAUGAUUUUGUUCGGAAUGGUCGUUGUUUACGCAGAACUUGCCCUUAUGUACAUUCCAAACCCAAGGUCAGCACUCGGACUCAGGUGAAUGAAUGCAACAUGGCGUUGGGCGUACAUCUGAGAGGUCGGCAUUCUAAUGAACAAGGAUUCUUGAGGCCUGUCAGCUACCCUAAUAACAUAGGUGUGAGGACCGAGAGACCACCAGUCUGGACUCGGAGGGCAACGCCUCCCCGGCAGCCAUAUUUGAGGCGGCCUACCUACUUCAGCAAUGCUCCUCCUGGCGUGAGACCAGGGAGACCCUCAUUGACAUCUGCCAGCGCAAGCCCGAGGUGGCCAGUUGCCGGCCGGUGGUCCAGGAACUAAUGGACAAGCUGCGCGGCUCGCCCGAGGUGCUGGGGGAGAAAUUUGGCAACUUUGUGGCUGUCUUCAAGAGGUAUCUUGCCGAGAAUGCCAGUGACCCUGCGACGGAUAGCCUGAAGCAAGCCCUAUCACGCCUGGGGGUCAGUAGUGCCAUGCUAUGCUGUAACAAUAGCCAAUGGCACCAGGCUCGAUACAUCCUAGACUGCCUGUACAAUCAAAGCUUCCCUUG
rnacentral:misc_RNA from 1 species